UAAAGCGUGCGUAGGCGGCUUUUUAAGUCGGAUGUGAAAUCCCCGAGCUUAACUUGGGAAUGCAUUCGAUACUGGGAAGCUAGAGUAUGGGAGAGGAUGGUAGAAUUCCAGGUGUAGCGGUGAAAUGCGUAGAGAUCUGGAGGAAUACCGAUGGCGAAGGCAGCCAUCUGGCCUAAUACUGACGCUGAGGUACGAAAGCAUGGGGAGCAAACAGGAUUAGAUACCCCUGU
rnacentral:rRNA from 1 species